CGGCGCUCGCGGGAAGCCGGGCAGCCCCGGGCUCUGGGGUCCUCCGCGCCUCGCCCACCUCUCUCGUGCAGGCUCUCCUCCGGGCCGGAGCUUCGGGCCGCAAGGGUGCGUCGGGCCUGCGCUGUCCCCGCCGCGGCCCUCCCCGCCCCGCCGCCCUUCCCGGCCGCGCGGCCGCCCGAGCCCCCUCCCUUGCCGCGCGCUGCGCGCUCCGCCAGGGCCGCCGCCGCCGCCGCGUGCUCCUGCUGUCUCUUCGCUCCAGCCCAGCGAGCCAGAGGAGCCGGCGAGAGGGAGAGAGAAAGGGGGAGGAGAGAGGCGAGAGAAAGAGAGAGAGAGAGGGCGGCAGCGAGGCAAGAGAGCGAGCGCCGAGCCUCCUCGGACAGCGGCCCCUCCGCGGUCCCAGCCGCUCGCGUGGUCGGAGGAGACGCGGUCGCCGCCGCCGCCUGAGCCCGGCCCCGCGCUCUCCUCGCCGCCGGCUCGCCGGUGCCCGCGCGGCCCCGGGACGCCGUUGCCCGCUCGGCGGCCGGGAUGCAGCCGGGGCAUGGCCGCCGGGCCCCUGUCACCUGCCGCGGGGAGCGCUGAGCCCACCUCCCUUUGGCCUCGUGACUCUGUUUAUACCGGAGCCAGCCGAACCCAGUUUUGCUAAAGACACGUUUCUUCAGCCUGCUUUGAAAAUGCUUCACCAACGGCCACUCAUCUGGUGGUGUAUGAGACGUGUGCCUCCAGCCAGCAGCCAAGACUCAUCCCAGUGGCCUCUCUGCUCUCACAGCCCUUCGGGUGCCGUCUCUUGAGGAAUGUCCUGGGAUUGAAGCCAUGUGUGGCCAGACUCCUGUCUUCUCAGCGUUUGGAGGGUGGCCAGUUCAGCCUUCCCUUAGCACUGGGGAGAGGAGAGCAGACCACACAGCGGCUAAGAGUUUGGGCACUGGGGGCCGCACUGCCUGGGUUUGAAUGCCAGCCUUGUGGCUCACUCUCUUGUCUUAGUUUCCUAGGUGGGUUCUCCAAGGAUGAUGGAGAUGGGCGUGGAAAACCUCAGCUCUGGGCUGAGGCACAAAGUUGAGCCUUCAAUGCACAGCAGCCCCUGAGAAUGAAAGGUCUUGGUUCUGUCCCCCUUACCACCCAGCUGCUCUGGUUGACUCCGUGCCUGCAGAAGAAAAUGAAUUUCCUAGGGAAUUGCCACCUCAAGGCGUUUAUUUAUGUGCUACACGCUUUUCAAAUAUUUUCUUAUUUUGCCUUUUG
rnacentral:lncRNA from 1 species